rnacentral:rRNA from 1 species
GGCGGCAUGCCUUACACAUGCAAGUCGAACGGCAGCACGGGAGCAAUCCUGGGUGGCGGAGGUGGCGAACGGGUGAGUAAUAUAUCGGAACGUGCCCAGUCGGUGGGGGAUAACGUAGCGAAAGCUACGCUAAUACCGCAUACGAUCUAUGGAUGAAAGCGGGGGAUCGCAAGACCUCGCGCGAUUGGAGCGGCCGAUAUCAGAUUAGGUAGUUGGUGAGGUAAAGGCUCACCAAGCCGACGAUCUGUAGCUGGUCUGAGAGGACGACCAGCCACACUGGGACUGAGACACGGCCCAGACUCCUACGGGAGGCAGCAGUGGGAAUUUUGGACAAUGGGCGCAAGCCUGAUCCAGCAAUGCCGCGUGCAGGAUGAAGGCCUUCGGGUUGUAAACUGCUUUUGUACGGAACGAAACGGUGAGCUCUAAUACAGUUUGCUAAUGACGGUACCGUAAGAAUAAGCACCGGCUAACUACGUG